rnacentral:rRNA from 1 species
ACGUAGGGGCCAAGCGUUGUCCGGAUUCAUUGGGCGUAAAGAGCUCGUAGGCGGUUCAGUUAGUCGGGUGUGAAAUCUCCGGGCUCAACCCGGAGGGGCCACCCGAUACUGCUGUGACUUGAGUCCGGUAGGGGAGUGGGGAAUUCCUGGUGUAGCGGUGAAAUGCGCAGAUAUCAGGAAGAACACCCGUGGCUAAGGCGGCUCUCUAGUACGGUACUGACGCUGAGACGCGAAAGCGUGGGGAGCGAACAGGA